GGAGCUUGGAGACGAGUCUCCUUGCAUGGCAUUCAAGAGGUCGUGGGUUCAAUUCCCUCCAGCUCCACCA
rnacentral:tRNA from 1 species